CCACCAAAAAACAAUAGAAAAGUAAAAACAAAAACAAAAACAUAGAUCAAUUGCUCAUCCACAAACAUAUUUCUCUU
rnacentral:ribozyme from 14 species